CCUACGGGAGGCAGCAGCCGCGGUAAUACUCCUACGGGAGGCAGCAGUAGGGAAUCUUCCGCAAUGGACGAAAGUCUGACGGAGCAACGCCGCGUGAGUGAUGAAGGUUUUCGGAUCGUAAAACUCUGUUGUUAGGGAAGAACAAGUUGGGUAGUAACUGACCCAACCUCGACGGUACCUAACCAGAAAGCCACGGCUAACUACGUGCCAGCAGCCGCGGUAA
rnacentral:rRNA from 1 species